CACAGAGCUUACUUUGGUGGCUGACUAAGUCCACAGAUUUUUGCAACUCAGUAACCUCAAGGUCCUGGCAAUGUAUUUUUAUAUAUAUCACGUCACUCAAGUGCCUCUAUAACCCAAUGAAAGAAAUAGUCUCCCAUUUCUACAAUGAGCAGCCUAACUCGGGUUAAGCCAAGCCGAAGAGAAGCAGUGUUAGGAUUUAACUCUGCAGGUGGUCUGACUACAAAACCCAGGCUAAAACCGACCAUUCUCCACGGGCUCAAGAGUCCAAUUUGAGAAAUGACAGUGCCACAUGCUUAAAAACUGAUAGGAAAUGUGACUGAGGCAUGAAUGAUAUAAUUCAUCUAAGAAGAGUUUUAUAAAGCACGUAAGAUACCAAAGCUAGAGGCAUUGUUCAAGGAGAAAAAAAGUCCCUACACUAUAACUAGUUUCCUUGAUAUGGAAUGGCUAACACCAACUGGUGAUGGAUAUAUUUGUUCUUAUGGCCUUGUUUCAUGAUGGAUGACUUGAAGGUUAACUGAAAGAGUUGAAGAAACCACAUGAAAACACAAAAUA